rnacentral:rRNA from 1 species
AAGGUGAUGCCUGCCCGGUGACCUGAUGUUUAACGGCCGCGGUAUCCUAACCGUGCAAAGGUAGCGCAAUCAAUUGUCCCGUAAAUCGGGACUUGUAUGAAUGGCUAAACGAGGUCUUAACUGUCUCUUACAGGCAAUCGGUGAAAUUGAUCUCCCUGUGCGAAAGCAGGGAUGCACACAUAAGACGAGAAGACCCUGUGGAACUUCAAAAACAGCGACCACCCCAAAAUACAUCUACCCCCACCCCGGGCUCACUUAUCCCACGGGCUACUGGUUCGCAUUUUUUCGGUUGGGGCGACCUUGGAGCAAAACAGAACCUCCAAAAAUUAGACCAAACCUCUAGACUGAGAGCAACACCUCUACGUGCUAAUAGCACCCAGACCCAAUAUAAUUGAUCAAUGGACCAAGCUACCCCAGGGAUAACAGCGCAAUCUCCUCCGAGAGUCCAUAUCGACGAGGAGGUUUACGACCUCGAUGUUGGAUCAGGACAUCCUAGUGGUGCAGCCGCUACUAAGGGUUCG